rnacentral:rRNA from 1 species
AUGACACAAUCAAACCCGAAUGAACAAAAUGUUGAAUUGAAUCAUACCAGUCUAUACUGGGGUUUAUUACUCAUUUUUGUACUUGCUGCUUAAUUUUCCAAUUACUUCUUCAAUUGA